rnacentral:ncRNA from 2 species
CUCUUAUCAAGAGAGGCGGAGGGACUGGCCCGAUGAUGCCCGGCAACCUGCCUUUUACAGGCGUGGUGCCAAUACCUGCAGCUUAGGCUGGGUGAUAAGAG